GACGAACGCUGGCGGCGUGCUUAACACAUGCAAGUCGAACGGAAAGGCCCUGCAUUUUUGUGGUGCUCGAGUGGCGAACGGGUGAUUAACCCGUGAGUAACCUGCCCUGGACUUUGGCUUAACUUCAGGGAACUUGGUCUAAUACCGGAUCGGAGCUCCUGCUUCAUGGUGUGUGUGGGAAAGUUUCGGCGGUUGGGCAUGGACUCGGGGCUUAUCUGCUUGGUGGUGGGGUAGUGGCUUACCAAGGCUUUGACCGGUAUUCGGCCUGAGAGGGUGACCGGCGACCUUGGGACUGCGAGACGGACCAGACGCCUACGUGAGGCAGCAGUGGCGAAUAUUGCACAAUGGGCCGAAGUGUGAUGAGGAAGCGUCGCGUGCGGGAUCAGGGCUUUUGGGUUGCAAAACGGUUCCGCUUAUGACGCAGCGUGAGUGACGGUAAUGGGUAAAGAAGCACCGGCUAACUACGUG
rnacentral:rRNA from 1 species